rnacentral:lncRNA from 1 species
CGGCAAAACGUCCGCCCGGGCCCGAGGCGGGCGGAGGCAGCUGUGGUUACGUGCGGGGGGCCGGUGACGCAGUCGCGGGGCGCUGGGACGCGGCUUGCGGAGCCGGCCGGCGAGCGCAGGCCCCAGGCUCGGGCGCGGCGGCGGGACAGCACCUACCUUCCCGGCUUCGGGUCCGGGAGUGCGGGGCGCGGAGCCGCCGGAGCGCUGCCUCCCUCCUUCCUCCUCCCCUCGCCCCCGCCCCGCGGCGCGACACACAAUACUCGCCGGAAGCGGAAGCCGCGCCGAGGCUCGUGUCAGUGGAAGCUGGGGUGUCGGCGGGCGGCCGCGGCCGGGUCUAGCGGUGCCUGCGGAAGAAGGAGGAGGAGGGCUGGCGAUGAGAAGCAGCAGGGGGAAUCAAGGGCAAGAAGGGACCCAGAGGGGCAGGUGGCUGAGAUGCUGGCGUCCAGGUGACCCGAGGAAUCCUCUGGAGAUACAGGCCCGCGCAUGCGCGUGCUCGAGCGCUGAAGCCCAUUGCCCGCAGGGCGCUGGACUGGCGCCCCGGCCGGCGAGGCUGUCUAGUCCAGGCUCCAGGCCCCGGCUCUGGCCAGGCGCCGCCGCCUCCCGGUGCAGCUGAAAGUCGACGAAGAGGGCGGGGCGGGGGCGGCUUGUGGACUUCCACACUUUUCCUCUCUUCGGGCCAGUCUGGGGAGAGGGUGGCUAGCUGUGGCGGCGGCCAAUUACGUGGCGGACCUGCGGGGCUAAGCUGGCACGUCACUUCCGACUAGUGGAGUUUUUAGCCUUUUAACAUUCAAGGAUUAGGUAAGUUCUCCCCGCGGUAGACUUCAAAUACUCUUUGUCCUGCCCCUGCUUGGCGAAAUUUACCGAAAUUAUCUACCUAUCCCGCUGGAGUGGGAGCCGGGGGAGAGCUGGAACCGCGUCUCUGCUGCUCACCUUUGUGUCCUUAGCUCCUUCGCAUGGGGUCCGACCGCAACACGUGCGCUGGAUAAACGCUUGUUAACUGGGUGAGAGCCAAGGCCUGUUCUUUCCACUUCUGGGGCUGUGACUUGAGUUUCUCCGCAGGAGCAGAUAGUGUUUGUGUAGGGACUGCGGACUUUUGCAUUACAGCCUCCCUGCUUUGCCCGCCUGCUGCUGGAAGCUUAGCAGGUAAAAGUCUUGCAGUGAAAAACCCGAGGACCCUUACCGCAAGUGUCUUUUGCUCCCAGCUACUGAUACUGGAUUCCACUCGUGAUUCUCCCUUUCUUAGCGCAUUCAUGAUAUAGACAUCAGUCUCUGAGCUGGAGGAGGACAAAGGCAGCGGUCCUGUGAAUUCUAUGCUCUAGCUUGGGUUAAGGGAUUUGGAAUUGCACUUGUUUCAGAGAGCUCCCUCUUUGCCCACUAGCAGGGCAUUAGCUGGUGCUGAAGACAGUGGCUGCUUGGCGAGCCUGGAUCUCCAAGUGACCCCCUCAGCAACUCCUGAUGAACAGGACUGAAGCCAAUAUUAAAGCAAGUCAACCAAAGGUUCUCUGGUGUAGACAAGACAGCAAAAGGACAGACUACCUUGUGGAACCUAGCAUUGUUCUCCUUCUGCAGCACUAAGUAACAUUUGUUCUCCGUUAAGAUCUUUGCAAACCACACACAAGAAUUGCUGGUCAUCCUGCCAAUAGAUGCUGCUCACAGAACCAAAUUUCCUGUGCUGAAUUGUCACUCAUGGGCUUGAGAGUAGGAGACUGGAGACCAAGGUGGCUAGAAUCCAGUUGGGCCUGAUGUCUCCCUGUUGAAAGGGCUCCUUGUGGAAUGAAUAGCACAUGGCUCCUGUGGUGGAUCUGAUAGUGGCAUAGCACCAAGUGAUGCAGGCCUGCCAGGGGCCACAGACACAGAAGAUGCUCCCGGGGUCCCCCAUGUACUCCAGACACACUGCAGGCCACCUCUCCCAGCAGGUUGCCAGUCAUGGGCCCCAUCAUCAUGACUUCUGUCCAAGGUGUGCUCGGAAAUCUCUUCCUUAACUGUGACUUUCUGACAGGUGGAGGAUGUGGUCAGGAGUGGGAAAAGGAUUCGAGACGGGAAGAGGGAGGGGUUCAGGAUGAAGAGAGAUAAUCUGUGCCACAGAUGCUGGCCCUGCAGUUAGCUCCCACCUAGUCCGUGCACACACAUUCUAAUCCCCUCCCAUUCCUUUACAUGCUGCGGCCAGAGAGGCCUUUCUCAAAGUGGAAGUCUCAUCCUCACUUCUCUGGUUACAGUGCUGGGCCAUGGUAACUUACAAGGCUUAGCAGGAACUGUCUGCGCACUCCCCCUUCCUGCCCACUACCUUGUUUCCCUCCAGUUGCGAGAGAAAACAUUGAUUGAGCAUUAACUAUGUGCCAGGCUUGUCCUAAGUCCUUUGCAUGUAUUCACUCAAACAAUCCUCACAACAUUCCUAUCACAUCUCCCAUUUCACAGUGAGGGUUCUAAAGCACGUAGUGGGUGAGGAACUUGUCCAGGGUCACACAACUAAGUGGGGGUGGAGAAACAUCAAAUCUAGGUGGUCCAGGUGGUGGCCAGAACCCAUCAGCACCUCACUACAGCUGCCUCCAGUUUCUCGCUCUAGGAAAUACUCUUCCCUGUCAACUCCUGUUGUCCUCUGGGCUCAGUUGACAUGUCAUCUCCUUGAGGAGGACAUCCUGAGAUGCUCCCCGACUAGGGUGGGCACCCACUUCCACACUCCAAAUGCCUAUUUGACCUGUGUAUCGCUGCAUCCCCACUGCCUGGCAGAUAGCAGGCCCCUAAUAAAUAUGAUUUGAGCAAAUAAAUAUAGUUCUUCAAAAAAUAGGGAGGACUUCUUGCUUCAGGUAAUGGUAGGCUAGGACAUUUGGACCAACCCUCCUGCAGAAAAUAGCCAUUUAUUUUGAUGCAAUAUAUCUGGCUAUGACUAGAGAUUUCAAAUAUUUGGAGGGCUAUUAUGUGAAGAACUAAACUUACUCUUUGUGACAUAGAGGUCAGAAAUUGGUCGUUUCCAUAGAGUAUGAGAGAGACAGAAUUGUGCUCAUCAUAAGUAUCUUUUUUAAAAGUUAGACUUAAUAAAAUGGGCUGCCUUGGUAGGUGGUGAGUUCUCUGUCACGAAAGAGAUUCAGCCACUUGCUCUGAGAAAGCAUGGAGAAUAUCAACAUUGUAAGGGUCGACCACCUCAUCUCUGAGGCCCCCUCCUCACUUAGGUUGCCAUUGCAGGUGGAACACUGGGCUGAGUGUCAAAGAACCUGGGUUCCACAAGCUGUGCGACCAUGGCUGGUUGUUUUGGAUCUCAUUCCUAAUAUCUGUUAGUUAAGCUGACCCGUCAAUACUGACCCACUUCACAGAGUUAUGAAGGGAUUAAAUUAGGUAUUACAUGUAAAUCUGUUUUGUUUGCUUUUUGUUGUUCUUUUUUGUUUUGCUUUUUUCUUUGCAUUAUGAAAUCCCAAGUCAACUUUUUCCAUUCUUUUAUUUUUUUAAAAAUUGACAUCAUCAUUAUAACCACAAAAUAAUUUUUAAAAUGGAAAAAAAAAACUCACCUGCAACCCCACAAUCUAAUACAAUAAUCAUACUUUUUUCCCUUUAUUCUCCUUUAUUGUGACCAAGGAUGACUUUGGGCAUUGCUGUGAGGAACUAUUUCGUUUAACACCCUACUACCUGAACAUGAUGCGUACUCAGCCUUUCACCACCCCCCAAGUAGCUACACAUGAUGUGAUAAUAGUAUUGGUGGUGGUUUUAGAGAGUUGGAGAGAAAACUGAAGUUGGAUUUGGGUAAAAGAAAAAAGAGUGGGAAUUAUUUUUUCUCCAUUCUAAAGCCCAUAAAGCAAUGUUAAUUGUUCCCACCCCUCUGCUAUUCUGUCUCCUCAGGUACUGUGUGCAGAAAUGUGAUUGAGAUUCAAGUCAGGGCCUCUCUGCCCUUUUCCCUCCAGAAACAAAACCAAGAUAAUUUAUCCUGAACACGGUGAAAAAAGGAAGGGAGGGAGGAGAAAAAGUCCGGGUCUCACCUGGGAUUCUCUGUCUCCUGCAACAUGAAGGAUUUAGCCUGGGAGGAGGUGGUGAGAACUCUGGGAGAGAAAAAAGAAGGAAAGAAUAGUUUUACCCAUGCUGAAGUUAAUUUAAACCUUCACCUAGAGAAGCAAAAAAAAAAAACCCACACUUUCCCAUUUUGUGCCUCCCUUCCUAGAGUUUUAGCCAAAGGUUUAGCUAAGUAAUUGGUUUUACCAGCGCACUCACUCCUCCUAUCCCAAGUCUGUUUGACUCCCUCCCCAUCAUCCUCCUCACCUCUUUUCAGGCAGGGUGGGGAUAGCAGCAGGAGGAGAUUUUGGGAGCCUGGCAACUCCUGCAAGGACCGCAGGACAGCCCCUCUGUGGGGAUGCGUGGUGCCCCAUCUGCCGCCCUUCUGAAGAAUGCACUGCCUUCACUUUUUACUGUGUUAGAGUCCAUCCAGACUGUUCUAUCCAAAAAAGUUUCUUUUUCCCCCACAGGCAAUCAGGAAAUGAUUCCUUUCCCGACUGCUUCUGUCUAGUGCCUGGGAAUCUUGAGUCAAUCCCUCAGUAAGUCAGUGACUAGGGAAAUCCCUCUCUGAGCCUCCCAGUUCAUGUUGCUUAGGGAACCUGAUAUUUUCGUGAAACCUGCCUACACAUGGGCAGCCCAACAGCAGAACAAAUGGUGGUGACCAAAGUGAACAAAGAAGUAUAGUUGUGCCAGCUUCGUAGUUGCCCAUGUGGACAAGUCAGCAGGAUCAGGACACGAGGAAGAGUAAAUGUGAGACAGUCAAUGUGACUUCUGCGAUAAACAGAUUUUUAAACCCCGAAAUUUUGCAAAAUUUUGGUGAAACCUGAACUUUCUUCGUUGCAUAUACUGGCACUAUCUGUACCAUCAUACAACUGUCUCACAUUAAAGCUAUUUUUCUUGGGCACUGAUGAGUAAGGUUGGUAUAAGUUCCUCAGAUCAACAAAAACCCAUUUUCCUGUAAGUCUUACAUUUAGUAUUUAAGGAACUAAAACUUAAAUACAUUUUGUGAAAUGGUUGACACUUCACUGAUAAUGAUUUAUUGCUUGGAUUAAUAAAUUUUCCAAAAGUUGUCUUAUGUAGAAUAUGGUUUGCAACCAGCAGAACCAUUAAUCUAUACUGCAAUGAUAUGCACUAUGUAUAAUUGUUUAAAAGCCUCUACUUAAUGAUGUAAAAUGCUCUAUUUAAUUACACAUUUGGGUAAACUGUAUACUAACAUCUGAUGGCAUUUUUCCACUGUUUGUUGCUUUUUUCAAAUACUUUAUUGUACAAAGCUGUUCUUAAUAUUUUUCAAGUUUUUUUCUUUGAAUUUUGCUAAUGUUUUCCUUGAAUUAUGAGCACUGACAGAAUGUGCUUAGCACUUUUGGCUAUUCACACAGCUUUUGAGCAUGAUUUGCAUCCAAUAUUUACAUUGCUAGCAAUAAUAAGCCAUCUGUGAGUUUUGUCAAAAGUUAUUGGGGAUUUUUUAAAUUUUAGAAAUGCAAAUUAUUGUUUCUUUGAACUAACUCUUAUGCAGUUGCAAAGGCAUUUCCAGUUGUUAUAGUUUGUGUACAAUAUCAGGUGUUCCAGAUUAUGAUUCAUUAUUAAUAUCAUUGCUUCCUUGUUCCCUCUGAGGUCCAGAAGAUUCAUGUUUACAAUAUUUAGAAACAAUGUUAAAAAGG